GAUGAACGCUGGCGGCGUGCCUAAUACAUGCAAGUCGAGCGAACGGACGAGAAGCUUGCUUCUCUGAUGUUAGCGGCGGACGGGUGAGUAACACGUGGAUAACCCACCUAUAAGACUGGGAUAACUUCGGGAAACCGGAGCUAAUACCGGAUAAUAUUUUGAACCGCAUGGUUCAAAAGUGAAAGACGGUCUUGCUGUCACUUAUAGAUGGAUCCGCGCUGCAUUAGCUAGUUGGUAAGGUAACGGCUUACCAAGGCAACGAUGCAUAGCCGACCUGAGAGGGUGAUAGGCCACACUGGAACUGAGACACGGUCCAGACUCCUACGGGAGGCAGCAGUAGGGAAUCUUCCGCAAUGGGCGAAAGCCUGACGGAGCAACGCCGCGUGAGUGAUGAAGGUCUUCGGAUCGUAAAACUCUGUUAUUAGGGAAGAACAUAUGUGUAAGUAACUGUGCACAUCUUGACGGUACCUAAUCAGAAAGCCACUGCUAACUACGUG
rnacentral:rRNA from 1 species